rnacentral:rRNA from 1 species
AUGCUCCAGUGCAGAAGAACCUGGGUUGUCGCCAAGGUGCAAGUGGGGCGCGUCCCAACCCUGCCACCCCCUCCCAAAGGCGUUGCCCCUCUUCAGCAAGUCACGGCAGCGCCUCCGCCACCGGCUGCACCUGCCCCAGCUGUGCAGGUCUUCGAUGAGCGCUACAAGGAUAUGGUAUGUUUUACUUGUGGAGGCCCUGGUCACUACGUGGGUAAUUGCAUCCAGAAGAAAGUUUGCUUUAUCUGUGGAUUGGAAGGGCACAACGUCAACAACUGCGCAGCUUGGGCGCAACCUCAUCCAUUUGCUACCUUAUUUGGGAGCUCAACCCUGGGUUUAGGGUUUUACCGCAUUGACGCUCCUGUGGGUUGUGAGGCAAGUUGGCUCAACUUUAGAAACUGUGGAGAGGUCUGGGUCAUGAAAGGAGAGAUCAACAAGUCGGAUUUGAUUAAGAACCUGUCAAAGAUUUUAUGCAAAAACAAACAAUGGACUUGGCAAGUCAAGCCCCUUUUAGACAAAAAAUUCUUAGUUAGAUUCCCACCCUAG